rnacentral:rRNA from 1 species
GUGGGGAAUAUUGCACAAUGGGGGAAACCCUGAUGCAGCAACGCCGCGUGAGUGAAGAAGUACUCCGGUAUGUAAAGCUCUAUCAGCAGGGAAGAAAAUGACGGUACCUGACCAAGAAGCCCCGGCUAACUACGUGCCAGCAGCCGCGGUAAUACGUAGGGGGCAAGCGUUAUCCGGAUUUACUGGGUGUAAAGGGAGCGUAGACGGUACUGCAAGUCUGGAGUGAAAGCCCGGGGCCCAACCCCGGGACUGCUCUGGAAACUGUGAUACUGGAGUGCAGGAGGGGUAAGCGGAAUUCCUAGUGUAGCGGUGAAAUGCGUAGAUAUUAGGAGGAACACCGGUGGCGAAGGCGGCUUACUGGACUGUAACUGACGUUGAGGCUCGAAGGCGUGGGGAGCAAACAGGA